AAAAAAAAAAAAAAUGUUACAGUGGAAUUAGAUUCGGCAAGAAAUACCGAUGCUUAUAAAAUGGCAACAUAAGAUCUUAUACUUUGAUAUACAGAAUUUAAAAAACGAUUUGUAUUCAUUACUUCAUCAUUAGCAGCUUCUUAAGACCCUAUCCUAAUCACCAACCAAUGCUUGCAUCCUAAUAUAGGUAUGAAUGUUUCUAGGGAAUAAAAAUAUUAUAUAGCAUUUGAGACUCUGUAAGCAUCUCAGGUGAUCUGCUUUUCAACUUUACAAUAUAGCAGAGGGAUCAUUCCAAACCCUAUGAUGCUUUUCAUAGCUCAAAAUGAAAUUUCUUAUUAACUUAGUGGUGGAUUUGAUUGAUCAUUGAACUUGCAUACGCUUCAACUUAUUCUUGUCUCAAAUGUUGGAUCAAAUAUAUGAAGACAACAAUAAGCAUUUAAACUACAAUUAGGUUGAAUCGUCAAUGAUACGGAGAUAUGGAGAAAUUUUAGUUGGACAUUUUGUUGUGUAAUCUUAUAUUGCUAGCAUUCGACACUGUAAAUUUAUGUAUGAAACCAAAUACUUGGGACUUGCAUUGUGAAGCAAUUAUCAUGAAUUUUGAAAAGGGAAAAUUCAUCAUAUAAAAUGCAUGCUAUCAUUAAGUUUAUUCACCUCAGCAGCAAAGCCCAAAUGGAGAUGCAUGAAUGAUUCACACUGUGGCGUUGUGUUAAUCCUGUCAACAUAUGACUUCGGAAGAACUUCUCUGGGUAAGAGAUUUAAAGUAUCCCACAUAGAUGCGUUGCUGAUGACAGCCUUUCUAGCACGUAUAAA
rnacentral:misc_RNA from 1 species